rnacentral:rRNA from 1 species
AUUGAACGCUGGCGGCAUGCCUUACACAUGCAAGUCUAACGGCAGCACGGGUGCUUGCACCUGGUGGCGAGUGGCGAACGGGUGAGUAAUACAUCGGAACAUGUCCUGUAGUGGGGGAUAGCCCGGCGAAAGCCGGAUUAAUACCGCAUACGAUCCACGGAUGAAAGCGGGGGACCUUCGGGCCUCGCGCUAUAGGGUUGGCCGAUGGCUGAUUAGCUAGUUGGUGGGGUAAAGGCCUACCAAGGCGACGAUCAGUAGCUGGUCUGAGAGGACGACCAGCCACACUGGGACUGAGACACGGCCCAGACUCCUACGGGAGGCAGCAGUGGGGAAUUUUGGACAAUGGGCGAAAGCCUGAUCCAGCAAUGCCGCGUGUGUGAAGAAGGCCUUCGGGUUGUAAAGCACUUUUGUCCGGAAAGAAAUCCUUGGCUCUAAUACAGUCGGGGGAUGACGGUACCGGAAGAAUAAGCACCGGCUAACUACGUG